AACCCUGAGGCGUGAUGACGAUGCACUACGGUGCAGAAGUAGUUGAUGCCCUGCUUCCAGGAAAAUCCUCUAAGCUCCAGGUAACAUUAAAUCGUACCCCAAACCGACACAGGUGGUCAGGUAGAGAAUACCAAGGCGCUUGAGAGAACUCGGGUGAAGGAACUAGGCAAAAUGGUGCCGUAACUUCGGGAGAAGGCACGCUGGCAUGUAGGUGAAGUCCCUUGCGGAUGGAGCUGAAGCCAGUCGAAGAUACCAGCUGGCUGCAACUGUUUAAUAAAAACACAGCACUGUGCAAACACGAAAGUGGACGUAUACGGUGUGACGCCUGCCCGGUGCUGGAAGGUUAAUUGAUGGGGUCAGCCGCAAGGCGAAGCUCUUGAUCGAAGCCCCAGUAAACGGCGGCCGUAACUAUAACGGUCCUAAGGUAGCGAAAUUCCUUGUCGGGUAAGUUCCGACCUGCACGAAUGGCGUAAUGAUGGCCAGGCUGUCUCCACCCGAGACUCAGUGAAAUUGAACUCGCUGUGAAGAUGCAGUGUACCCGCGGCAAGACGGAAAGACCCCGUGAACCUUUACUAUAGCUUGACACUGAACAUUGAGCCUUGAUGUGUAGGAUAGGUGGGAGGCUUUGAAGCGUGGACGCCAGUCUGCGUGGAGCCAUCCUUGAAAUACCACCCUUUAAUGUUUGAUGUUCUAACUCGGCCCCGUGAUCCGGGGUGAGGACAGUGUCUGGUGGGUAGUUUGACUGGGGCGGUCUCCUCCCAAAGAGUAACGGAGGAGCACGAAGGUUAGCUAAUCACGGUCGGACAUCGUGAGGUUAGUGCAAAGGCAUAAGCUAGCUUGACUGCGAGAGUGACGGCUCGAGCAGGUACGAAAGUAGGUCUUAGUGAUCCGGUGGUUCUGAAUGGAAGGGCCAUCGCUCAACGGAUAAAAGGUACUCCGGGGAUAACAGGCUGAUACCGCCCAAGAGUUCAUAUCGACGGCGGUGUUUGGCACCUCGAUGUCGGCUCAUCACAUCCUGGGGCUGAAGUAGGUCCCAAGGGUAUGGCUGUUCGCCAUUUAAAGUGGUACGCGAGCUGGGUUUAGAACGUCGUGAGACAGUUCGGUCCCUAUCUGCCGUGGGCGUUGGAAGAUUGAGAGGGGUUGCUCCUAGUACGAGAGGACCGGAGUGAACGCACCACUGGUGUUCGGGUUGUCAUGCCAAUGGCAUUGCCCGGUAGCUAAGUGCGGAAAAGAUAAGCGCUGAAAGCAUCUAAGCGCGAAACUUGCCUCAAGAUGAGUCUUCCCUGGGCCUUUAAGGCCCCUGAAGGAACGUUUAAGACUAAGACGUUGAUAGGCUGGGUGUGUAAGUGCAGCGAUGCAUUGAGCUAACCAGUACUAAUGAUCCGUGAGGCUUAACCUU
rnacentral:rRNA from 1 species